UACGGAGGGUGCGAACGUUAAUCGGAAUAACUGGGCGUAAAGGGCACGCAGGCGGAUUUUUAAGUGAGGUGUGACAGCCCCGGGCUUAACCUGGGAAUUGCAUUUCAGACUGGGAGUCUAGAGUACUUUAGGGAGGGGUAGAAUUCCACGUGUAGCGGUGAAAUGCGUAGAGAUGUGGAGGAAUACCGAAGGCGAAGGCAGUCCCUUGGGAAUGUACUGACGCGCAUGUGCGAAAGCGUGGGGAGCAAACAGG
rnacentral:rRNA from 1 species